rnacentral:sRNA from 1 species
AGCGCCCCGUGGGCUCGCAGCAGCAGCAGCCCCUGCAGAGGACCCUGAGCGGUGGCUGUGGGGACGUACGCGGCAUGGGGGCAGGUGGGCGUGGCGGGGAGAGGCGCCGCAGAGCGGCUCAGGGCCAGCUCCGUAGGGAAAAAGUGUGGCUUGGCCUUUCCCCUUCGUGUCCCCAGCCCCAACACCGUGCCUGGCACGCGGCGGCUGCUGUUAUUUGUUGAAUGACUGACGGUCGGAAUGAACCACGCGGACUGGGAUUUCAGACAAAAAUCAGGAAUCGUCACCAGCCAAGACUGUGUUCGGACCACGUGACGUCUUCCAGGCAUCAGGAAGAAAUACGACCAACCUCCGUAACAAAUGAGAGAAACUUCACCUGACUGUGUUUUGUGCAUUUGGUUUACGAGUCAUUUUAAAAACGUGUACUUGUACUGCUGCAUUCAGGUUUUCAGCCAUAGAAUAUUCUAGAAAAAAUAGUGAUAACAUUUAUUUCACUGCUAUAACCCUGAAUGUGUAGCUGUGUUUUUUAAAAAAACAUUUUUUUACAAUUGUAGAAUAUGUAACAUGCCUCCAGAAACGUGCCCUAAACACAAACAUAUAAUUUGGCAAAUAA